rnacentral:rRNA from 1 species
GCAGGCUGCAACUCGCCUGUAUGAAGUCGGAAUUGCUAGUAAUCGCGGAUCAGCAUGCCGCGGUGAAUACGUUCCCGGGCCUUGUACACACCGCCCGUCACACCAUGAGAGCCGGGAACACCCGAAGUCCGUAGUCUAACCGCAAGGAGGACGCGGCCGAAGGUGGGUUUGGUAAUUGGGGUGAAGUCGUAACAAGGUAUC